UAAGGAAUAUUGGUCAAUGGAGGCAACUCUGAACCAGCCAUGCCGCGUGCAGGAAGACGGCCCUCUGGGUUGUAAACUGCUUUUACUCGGGAAUAAACCUAUCUACGUGUAGAUAGCUGAAUGUACCGAAGGAAUAAGGAUCGUCUAAUUCCGUGCCAGCAGUCCCGGUAAUACGGUGGAUCCAAGCGUUAUCCGGAUUUAAUGGGUUUAAAGGGUGCGUAGGCGGCGUGUUAAGUCAGUGGUGAAAGACGGUAGCUCAACUAUCGCAGUGCCCUUGAUACUGAUGGUCUUGAAUGGACUAGAGGUAGGCGGAAUGAGACAAGUAGCGGUGAAAUGCAUAGAUAUGUCUCAGAACACCGAUUGCGAAGGCAGCUUACUAUGGUCUUAUUGACGCUGAGGCACGAAAGCGUGGGGAUCGAACAGGAUU
rnacentral:rRNA from 1 species